GGGUUGUGAGGUUAAGCGACUAAGCGUACACGGUGGAUGCCCUGGCAGUCAGAGGCGAUGAAGGACGUGCUAAUCUGCGAUAAGCGUCGGUAAGGUGAUAUGAACCGUUAUAACCGGCGAUUUCCGAAUGGGGAAACCCAGUGUGAUUCGUCACACUAUCAUUAACUGAAUCCAUAGGUUAAUGAGGCGAACCGGGGGAACUGAAACAUCUAAGUACCCCGAGGAAAAGAAAUCAACCGAGAUUCCCCCAGUAGCGGCGAGCGAACGGGGAGCAGCCCAGAGCCUGAAUCAGUGUGUGUGUUAGUGGAAGCGUCUGGAAAGGCGCGCGAUACAGGGUGACAGCCCCGUACACAAAAAUGCACAUGCUGUGAGCUCGAUGAGUAGGGCGGGACACGUGGUAUCCUGUCUGAAUAUGGGGGGACCAUCCUCCAAGGCUAAAUACUCCUGACUGACCGAUAGUGAACCAGUACCGUGAGGGAAAGGCGAAAAGAACCCCGGCGAGGGGAGUGAAAAAGAACCUGAAACCGUGUACGUACAAGCAGUGGGAGCCUCUUUAUGGGGUGACUGCGUACCUUUUGUAUAAUGGGUCAGCGACUUAUAUUCUGUAGCAAGGUUAACCGAAUAGGGGAGCCGAAGGGAAACCGAGUCUUAACUGGGCGUUAAGUUGCAGGGUAUAGACCCGAAACCCGGUGAUCUAGCCAUGGGCAGGUUGAAGGUUGGGUAACACUAACUGGAGGACCGAACCGACUAAUGUUGAAAAAUUAGCGGAUGACUUGUGGCUGGGGGUGAAAGGCCAAUCAAACCGGGAGAUAGCUGGUUCUCCCCGAAAGCUAUUUAGGUAGCGCCUCGUGAAUUCAUCUCCGGGGGUAGAGCACUGUUUCGGCAAGGGGGUCAUCCCGACUUACCAACCCGAUGCAAACUGCGAAUACCGGAGAAUGUUAUCACGGGAGACACACGGCGGGUGCUAACGUCCGUCGUGAAGAGGGAAACAACCCAGACCGCCAGCUAAGGUCCCAAAGUCAUGGUUAAGUGGGAAACGAUGUGGGAAGGCCCAGACAGCCAGGAUGUUGGCUUAGAAGCAGCCAUCAUUUAAAGAAAGCGUAAUAGCUCACUGGUCGAGUCGGCCUGCGCGGAAGAUGUAACGGGGCUAAACCAUGCACCGAAGCUGCGGCAGCGACACUAUGUGUUGUUGGGUAGGGGAGCGUUCUGUAAGCCUGUGAAGGUGUACUGUGAGGUAUGCUGGAGGUAUCAGAAGUGCGAAUGCUGACAUAAGUAACGAUAAAGCGGGUGAAAAGCCCGCUCGCCGGAAGACCAAGGGUUCCUGUCCAACGUUAAUCGGGGCAGGGUGAGUCGACCCCUAAGGCGAGGCCGAAAGGCGUAGUCGAUGGGAAACAGGUUAAUAUUCCUGUACUUGGUGUUACUGCGAAGGGGGGACGGAGAAGGCUAUGUUGGCCGGGCGACGGUUGUCCCGGUUUAAGCGUGUAGGCUGGUUUUCCAGGCAAAUCCGGAAAAUCAAGGCUGAGGCGUGAUGACGAGGCACUACGGUGCUGAAGCAACAAAUGCCCUGCUUCCGGGAAAAGCCUCUAAGCAUCAGGUAACAUCAAAUCGUACCCCAAACCGACACAGGUGGUCAGGUAGAGAAUACCAAGGCGCUUGAGAGAACUCGGGUGAAGGAACUAGGCAAAAUGGUGCCGUAACUUCGGGAGAAGGCACGCUGAUAUGUAGGUGAAGUCCCUCGCGGAUGGAGCUGAAAUCAGUCGAAGAUACCAGCUGGCUGCAACUGUUUAUUAAAAACACAGCACUGUGCAAACACGAAAGUGGACGUAUACGGUGUGACGCCUGCCCGGUGCCGGAAGGUUAAUUGAUGGGGUUAGCGGUAACGCGAAGCUCUUGAUCGAAGCCCCGGUAAACGGCGGCCGUAACUAUAACGGUCCUAAGGUAGCGAAAUUCCUUGUCGGGUAAGUUCCGACCUGCACGAAUGGCGUAAUGAUGGCCGGGCUGUCUCCACCCGAGACUCAGUGAAAUUGAACUCGCUGUGAAGAUGCAGUGUACCCGCGGCAAGACGGAAAGACCCCGUGAACCUUUACUAUAGCUUGACACUGAACAUUGAGCCUUGAUGUGUAGGAUAGGUGGGAGGCUUUGAAGUGUGGACGCCAGUCUGCAUGGAGCCGACCUUGAAAUACCACCCUUUAAUGUUUGAUGUUCUAACGUUGGCCCCUGAUCGGGGUUGCGGACAGUGUCUGGUGGGUAGUUUGACUGGGGCGGUCUCCUCCUAAAGAGUAACGGAGGAGCACGAAGGUUGGCUAAUCCUGGUCGGACAUCAGGAGGUUAGUGCAAUGGCAUAAGCCAGCUUGACUGCGAGCGUGACGGCGCGAGCAGGUGCGAAAGCAGGUCAUAGUGAUCCGGUGGUUCUGAAUGGAAGGGCCAUCGCUCAACGGAUAAAAGGUACUCCGGGGAUAACAGGCUGAUACCGCCCAAGAGUUCAUAUCGACGGCGGUGUUUGGCACCUCGAUGUCGGCUCAUCACAUCCACGGGGCUGAAGUAGGUCCCAAGGGUAUGGCUGUUCGCCAUUUAAAGUGGUACGCGAGCUGGGUUUAGAACGUCGUGAGACAGUUCGGUCCCUAUCUGCCGUGGGCGCUGGAGAACUGAGGGGGGCUGCUCCUAGUACGAGAGGACCGGAGUGGACGCAUCACUGGUGUUCGGGUUGUCAUGCCAAUGGCACUGCCCGGUAGCUAAAUGCGGAAGAGAUAAGUGCUGAAAGCAUCUAAGCACGAAACUUGCCCCGAGAUGAGUUCUCCCUGACUCCUUGAGAGUCCUGAAGGAACGUUGAAGACGACGACGUUGAUAGGCCGGGUGUGUAAGCGCAGCGAUGCGUUGAGCUAACCGGUACUAAUGAACCGUGAGGCUUAACCUUACAACGCCGAAG
rnacentral:rRNA from 1 species